rnacentral:rRNA from 1 species
UACGUAGGGUGCGAGCGUUAAUCGGAAUUACUGGGCGUAAAGCGUGCGCAGGCGGUUCGCCAAGUCAGGUGUGAAAUCCCCGGGCUUAACCUGGGAAUUGCGCUUGAAACUAGCGGGCUUGAGUGCGGCAGAGGGGGGUGGAAUUCCACGUGUAGCAGUGAAAUGCGUAGAGAUGUGGAGGAACACCGAUGGCGAAGGCAGCCCCCUGGGUCGACACUGACGCUCAUGCACGAAAGCGUGGAGAGCAAACAGG